AUUGAACGCUGGCGGCAGGCCUAACACAUGCAAGUCGAGCGAGCGGCGGACGGGUGAGUACUGUAUGGGGAUCUGCCCGAUGGAGGGGGAUAACUACUGGAAACGGUAGCUAAUACCGCAUACUAUCGGAUGUACCCAUAGGGGAUUAGCUCGUAGGUGGGGUAAAGGCUCACCUAGGCGACGAUCGCUAGCUGGUCUGAGAGGAUGACCAGCCACACUGGGACUGAGACACGGUCCAGACUCCUACGUGAGGCAGCAGUGGGGAAUAUUGCACAAUGGGCGCAAGCCUGAUGCAGCCAUGCCGCGUGUAUGAAGAAGGCCUUCGGGUUGUAAAGUACUUUCAGCGGGGAGGCGUUACCCGCAGAAGAAGCACCGGCUAACUCCGUGCCAGCAGCCGCGGUAAUAC
rnacentral:rRNA from 1 species